GGGGAUGACAGGCUUCGACGGGAGAGGCUGAACCCGAACGGCGAGCCGAGAGGUACCGACCUCGUAAAAUCAGUACAAAACACAAGUGCCAAUCGCACUAACUAUGCUGCUCUUCCUUUAGCUGCAUAAGCUAAGGAACCAGCGACUGGUCUUCGGACCACGUCUGCCUGCACCGAACUCCGACCGGUCGCGGGACAGGCGCCACAAAGUUGGAGUGCUGUGCAUACGGCCGCGCAAUGCACAAAAGAGGGCUUUCGGGUCCAAGCGGCUGGCUGCUGACGUUGGCUGAGGGUCUCCCUGUCAGCGGCGAGAACCAAGAUCCGCUACGCUCGUAGAAGUUCGCGGCUCUAUUCUUUCGGACGCGGGUUCGAUUCCCGCCAUCUCCACCA
rnacentral:tmRNA from 1 species